UUUUUUUAGUGUUAUUAAUUAAUCUUAAUAAUAGGCCUACCUUUAUAACAGAAUAUUAUUAUUAUUCUAUAACUAUUCUAUAGCUCUGCCUUUAUAAAACUAUACCAAUACUACUAUACCAACUAGUAUACCCUUAACAUCCCCUUCGGGUACCUUACCCUACGCUGCCUACAGUUUAACAACCAACGCGAUUAGUCGGCGCUAGAUGGCGUCGGCAAUCACGUGUGUUUUUGGCGCCCAAAAGAGUUAGGGAAGUAAGCAGAAUUUUGUAAGGGAUCCAGGUAGUUAAGAAAAAUAUUCCACUGGGUUUGAUUAAAAAUUGAAACCUCAAAUGUUUUAUUCGUUUUGUUUACCAACAGUUGAAAAUCUUGUAAGAAAAUCAGUUUCUAACAUGAAGAGUGAAGCAGAGGAGUCGGUAAUGAGAACCUUCAUAGGACAAACUCGUGAUUUAAGUGAAUGUUCCAAAUGCACCAGUUUGCUACUUGACCCAGUGGAAGCAAAAUGUUGACAUUACUUUUGUCGAGGCUGCAUUACUGGGCUACCAAGAAACUCAACUGGCGAACCAACCUUUUUGUGUGGCGUGUGUCAAACUAUAGUCUGCAAAGAUGACUUGAAAGAGCUAAAUCCCAAGAUGAGCAAAAUUACCUCUUCCCUGCAGCACUUUUUACAAGAUUUUUGUAGAGAGGGAGGAUGGAAAAUUGAUACUUUGUUGAGUAGUUCUGCAAAUGGUCAACCAAUUUCAAGAUCACUACCCUUAAAUUUAGAAGGGAAGUCUGAGAAAACUGUAGUACAACAGCAGCUGAUAUUGAAGAAGGCAGUGGUUCUGUUAUUAUUUGCAGUUCAUCUUCCUCUGAACUGGCUCAUCAGAGUACACUUGAACCAGAACACAAAGUACAUCAAUGGCUGAUGACCAAUCCGAAUGUAGAUCCACCCCAGACAACACUCCGCGUUUUAUUUUGGGACUAAAGACGUCAGCACAAAACCGUUGAAAACACCCGGAGAAAGACGGCUUAUUCUCGAUUGCAUACUGGUCUUCCCCUUUCAUAAUACAACCUGUU